UGGGGAAUAUUGGGCAAUGGGCGAAAGCCUGACCCAGCGACGCCGCGUGGGUGAUGAAGGCCUUCGGGUUGUAAAACCCUUUCGUGCGGAAAGAAUAGUCCUGUAGCGAAUAACUACGGGAUUUGACGGUACCGCAGGAAGAAGCACCGGCUAACUCCGUGCCAGCAGCCGCGGUAAUACGGAGGGUGCAAGCGUUGUUCGGAAUUAUUGGGCGUAAAGGGCGCGUAGGUGGUUGUGAUAGUCAGAUGUGAAAUCCUUCGGCUCAACCGAAGAACUGCAUCUGAAACUUCAUAGCUCGAGUACAGGAGAGGGAAACGGAAUUCCCGGUGUAGAGGUGAAAUUCGUAGAUAUCGGGAGGAACACCAGUGGCGAAGGCGGUUUCCUGGCCUGAUACUGACGCUG
rnacentral:rRNA from 1 species